UUCAUUUAGUCCAAAAAAAGACAUUGAAAACUGGUCUUUGUUUGGUCCGUCUAAUUCAGUCCAAAUUUAGCCUAAAAUUAGACGUCUUUUUCGGACCACUUUUCAACGUGUCUCCAUUCAAUAAUAAUCCUGACAAAAUAUGCAUGAAUGUAUAAAUACUGAGCACAUUGAACGAUAAUGAAACAUAUGCUUUGUUUAAAGUCUAUUAAUAUUUCUGUUUAUUUUAAUUAAAUAAAUAUCUUAAAUGUGCUCUAAACAGGUCAUUUCGGUCCUGUACAGCACUGAUAGAAGCACUUCAUUUUCAUCUUUUAACAAAUAUCUUUAUUUUCUUUUAAUAUGAUAUUAUUGGCAGAGGCGCGCGUCCGUCUCAUGCUUUGUGAUCACGUGAUUAUUCAACGGGGAGACGCGCGUUCUGGAUUUACAGUUUCUCCUCAGACAAGUGUUUCUGUUUUGUGGUCGAUUCUGGGAUCCUUUUCUUGGUGUGUCUUGAUGUUUUCUAUUGGCUAAAGAUGCAAAUAAGGAGACUUACACAUGUCUCUGUGAAACUGACAAUCUCAGGUAGGAGCUGCUGGUUUGUGGUUGGCAGUAUGGAUCACGGUCUGCGACUCAUGAGGAGCUGGUCUGGAGACAUGAAGAGGUUGUCAACAGAAUUUCUGCAAAUUCCUGUUCCGUGUCAUAUUGCUUAUGCAAGACUGAAUCCAUAAAGGUGAUGGUCUGUGGAGACUGUGGGCGAUUCCUUCUGCUGUCAUUUAAACAUGAGCAGGAGUAAUGACGGGUUUAAAUGGACGCAACUAAUAUUAUGUCAGAGUCCGCUGCUUAUGCUGUAACCAUAAAGCAACCAGGACAACACACCUGGAGUGACCGAGAGCAGGAUGAAGGAGGAAUCGGAUGAGAAAAUGUCAACUGGUGCCCAUGAGGAGACAUAUUGUUCUUGGACCUGCUUUUUAUGUUUAGUAAUAAGUGGUUUUAUGUGGUUAAAUAAAAGUAAUUUAAUAUUAAUAUUUAAUAUUUUAAUAUUCACUCCAAAAUGGUCUAGUAUUGUCACUUAACUUAUGCUGCUUGACUUCUCAGCAUAAAGAUCAUUAUUAAAUUAAUAUUAAAUAUUUCAAAUUUAGAAAUAGGCUACCCCAUGCCAUCUAAUAAAGAAGUGGGUACUCCAUGCGUGUUGUGUACCCAGCACUACACCAUAUGGCAUCAUUGAUGUCUGUUGUAAGUAGAUAUAUAACUGUUAUUAAAUAAUUAUAUUGUAUUUCUUUCUAUUUAAGUCCAAGUUCAAAAUAAAACUCUAUAAACC